GACGUAGGGCGCGAGCGUUGUCCGGAUUUAUUGGGCGUAAAGAGCUCGUAGGCGGCUUGUCGCGUCGUCCGUGAAAACUUGGGGCUCAACCCCAAGCUUGCGGUCGAUACGGGCAGGCUAGAGUUCGGUAGGGGAGACUGGAAUUCCUGGUGUAGCGGUGAACUGCGCAGAUAUCAGGAGGAACACCGGUGGCGAAGGCGGGUCUCUGGGCCGAUACUGCCGCUGAGGAGCGAAAGCGUGGGGAGCGAACAGG
rnacentral:rRNA from 1 species